UGCUUCCAACAGGGAUACCAGCUGCGGAUAAGGAAUCGCGAAAUCCUGUAAUUCCAACUGAUGUAUUCAUAAGGCCAACAUGUAUCCCAAUAUUAGGCUGAGCAGCUUUCUGACCUCGUGCAGUGGGAAAUCUUCCAAGGCAUCGGGAACAGCUGGGUGAGGCCGAAGUAACCGCAUAUUGCCAGUCGUCCCCUGUGAAUCGGUGACCACAUAUGAAGAUGCACCUCGACUCGUUGACGGCUUAGCCACUGCAUCAAAGUCUUCCCUGGACAGCCUGGUACAGGAAAUCUUCCAAGGCAUCGGGAACAGCUGGGUGAGGCCGAAGUAACCGCAUAUUGCCAGUCGUCCCCUGUGAAUCGGUGACCACAUAUGAAGAUGCACCUCGACUCGUUGACGGCUUAGCCACUGCAUCAAAGUCUUCCCUGGG